rnacentral:rRNA from 1 species
UGAGGAAUAUUGGUCAAUGGUCGGGAGACUGAACCAGCCAAGCCGCGUGAGGGAGGAAGGUACAGAGUAUCGUAAACCUCUUUUGUCAGGGAACAAAGACUGGGACGCGUCCCCGGAUGAGUGUACCUGAAGAAAAAGCAUCGGCUAACUCCGUGCCAGCAGCCGCGGUAAUACGGAGGAUGCGAGCGUUAUCCGGAUUUAUUGGGUUUAAAGGGUGCGCAGGCGGUCUGUUAAGUCAGCGGUCAAAGCCCGGGGCUCAACCCCGGCCCGCCGUUGAAACUGGCAGUCUCGAGUUGGAGAGAAGUAUGCGGAAUGCGCGGUGUAGCGGUGAAAUGCAUAGAUAUCGCGCAGAACUCCGAUUGCGAAGGCAGCAUGCCGGCUCCACACUGACGCUGAGGCA